UACGGAGGGGGCUAGCGUUGUUCGGAAUUACUGGGCGUAAAGCGCGCGUAGGCGGCUUUGCAAGUCAGAGGUGAAAGCCCGGGGCUCAACCCCGGAAUUGCCUUUGAAACUGCAUCGCUAGAACGUCGGAGAGGUGAGUGGAAUUCCGAGUGUAGAGGUGAAAUUCGUAGAUAUUCGGAAGAACACCAGUGGCGAAGGCGACUCACUGGACGACUGUUGACGCUGAGGUGCGAAAGCGUGGGGAGCAAACAGG
rnacentral:rRNA from 2 species